rnacentral:rRNA from 1 species
AGCGAACGCUGGCGGCAGGCCUAACACAUGCAAGUCGAACGGACCCUUCGGGGUUAGUGGCGGACGGGUGAGUAACACGUGGGAACGUGCCCUUUGGUUCGGAACAACUCAGGGAAACUUGAGCUAAUACCGAAUGUGCCCUUCGGGGGAAAGAUUUAUCGCCAUUGGAGCGGCCCGCGUCUGAUUAGCUAGUUGGUGGGGUAAUGGCCUACCAAGGCGACGAUCAGUAGCUGGUCUGAGAGGAUGAUCAGCCACAUUGGGACUGAGACACGGCCCAAACUCCUACGGGAGGCAGCAGUGGGGAAUCUUGCGCAAUGGGCGAAAGCCUGACGCAGCCAUGCCGCGUGAAUGAUGAAGGUCUUAGGAUUGUAAAAUUCUUUCACCGGGGACGAUAAUGACGGUACCCGGAGAAGAAGCCCCGGCUAACUUCGUGCCAGCCGCCGCCGUAACAC